rnacentral:rRNA from 1 species
GUGUCAGCAGCCGCGGUAAGACGGAGGAUGCAAGCGUUAUCCGGAAUUAUUGGGCGUAAAGCGUCCGCAGGUGGCCUAUCAAGUCUGCUGUCAAAGACCGGGGCUUAACCCCAGAAAGGCAGUGGAAACUGAAAGGCUAGAGGAUGGUAGGGGCAGAGGGAAUUCCCAGUGUAGCGGUGAAAUGCGUAGAGAUUGGGAAGAACACCGGUGGCGAAAGCGCUCUGCUGGGCCAUAACUGACACUCAGGGACGAAAGCUAGGGGAGCGAAUGGGAUUAGAUACCCCAGUAGUCC